GGAGGAAGGCAUUGAUGCUUUCCCCAUAGACCCUACAGGCUUCUGGUUGGAGCCAUAAGGAAAUGAGAGGAAGAAUUAGCCUGUUUGUGUGACUGGGCUCCUGUAAAUAUUUUGAUACAUCUGCUGCCAGCUCCGGUCUAAGGGAAUCUACCUAGCAUUUAAAUUUUGAUGGGGAGCUGUUUUGAAUAAUAAGAGUGCAGCCGGCUGUGAGUCAGUGUGCAUGUGUGUUGACUGAAGGGAAGGGAGUGAAAGGGGGGGGGGGCUCAAAAGCUUUAACGUUUGCUGAACGGCGAGCUGCAGUGCUUCGCUUUUGCCUCCCUCCUCCUUUUUAGCUAGUAGAUAUUCCAAACAGAUUUNUGUGUGUGUGUGUGUGUACGCGCGCGCGCGCCUGUCUAUGUUCACUGGGAGGAGGGCGGAAUUAAAGAAAAAUAUAUAGCCCUUCACCCAGUAGCCGUUGCAAUGGGUGCUGUAAUGGGCACGUUUUCUUCUCUGCAAACCAAACAAAGAAGACCCUCGAGAGGUAUUAAUAUUUUAUAUUUGUGGAGAAACUCAUGCACUAAAGCCUGGUCUACAGAACAGAAUAUGUACGCAGCUUCAGUCUUGGGCUUUUUCUGUAGCAGUUCUACCAUAAAAAUAAACUCCUUUACAGUUGUGGAGAAGUUCAAGGACAGCUAUGAUGUGCUGUGAUCGCCCGGUCAGAUGUCCAAGGAAAAAGAAGCACAAGUUUGCCUGGCUUACUGAACUUCAGAUAACAACAUUUUUCAAUGAAAACACUAGUCUUUGUAACAUGAGAAGCUUCUGAUCCUACUCAGUCUAUUCACAGGAAAGCGGCCAACAAUCUUUCGCUGUAACUGAUGUUGUCUUCCUUAGUGCUUUAUAAAUAUUUGCCUGCUUUUAUUUGCUGUUUGGGAAGAGCCAUAGCUCAGUGGCAGAGUAUCUCCUUUGAAUGCAGAACAGCUGAGAUUUAAUUCCUGGUAUCCAUCCAGAAAAAAGGCAAUGACAAACCACUUCCAAAUUGUUGCNAAAGAAGUAUAAAUACCUGCAUAGAUUUCUCAUUUGACUGGGAGUCAAAUGCAGGGGUAUCCUUACCUUUUGUUACUAUCUGCUUUUAGGCAAUUUAUCUGAUCUGAUGUAUUAAAGUUUCUUGAAGCUCAGUGGCUUCCUUGAUUUUAGCUUUUCAGGGUGGACGUGCAUAAAGAGUAGAGUAGAAUGGCAUUUGCUUGUAAAACAGAUUGAAGUGCAUCUAGUUGCUUAGAGUGGGGAAGUUAUCAGAGACAGCUGUGUUAAUUGGCUGCCCAUUUCCAGAAUGAGAACUGCAAUUUGAACAUUAGUAAUCUCCAACUAACUGCAUCAGUGCAACUGGAUCGAAUUAAGGCAAUAAACUAGCAUUUCCGUGCUGGAAUCUACA
rnacentral:lncRNA from 1 species